GCAGAGUAGGAAUUUGCGCGUUAAGUGUCUGUCGGACGGGGAGUUGUCGAUGGAACGAAAAGAGUAAUCUUGCGGUGCAGAUUCCGCAUCCCGCUGC
rnacentral:ncRNA from 1 species